AUUGAACGCUGGCGGCAGGCCUAACACAUGCAAGUCGAGCGAGCGGCGGACGGGUGAGUAAUGCCUGGCAAUUGCCCAGUCGAGGGUGAUAACAGUUGGACACGACUGCUAAUACCGCAUACGAUCUGAUUGCCCAGGUGGGAUUAGCGAGUUGGUUCGGUAAUGGCUCACCAAGGCGACGAUCCCUAGCUGGUCUGACAGGAUGAUCAGCAACACGGGAACUGAGAAAAGGUCCAGACUCCUACGGGAGGCAGCAGUGGGGAAUAUUGGACAAUGGGGGAAACCCUGAUGCAGCCAUGCCGCUGGUGUGAAGAAGUCCUUCGUGUUGUAAAGCACUUUCAGAGAGGAGGCGUUACUCGCAGAAGAAGCACCGGCUAACUCCGUGCCAGCAGCCGCGGUAAUAC
rnacentral:rRNA from 1 species